GAUGAAGAACGUAGCAAAAUGCGUUAAGUAAUGUGAAUUGCAGAAUUCAGUGAAUCAUCGAAUCUUUGAACGCACAUUGCGCCCGCUGGUAUUCCGGCGGGCAUGCCUGUUCGAGCGUCAUUUCAACCCUCAAGCCCCCGGGUUUGGUGUUGGGUAUCGGCUCUGCCCUUCUGGGCGGUGCCGCCCCCGAAAUACAUUGGCGGUCUCGCUGCAGCCUCCAUUGCGUAGUAGCUAACACCUCGCAACUGGAACGCGGCGCGGCCAUGCCGUAAAACCCCAACUUCUGAAUGUUGACCUCGGAUCAGGUAGGAAUACCCGCUGAACUUAAGCAUAUCAAUAAGCGGAGGA
rnacentral:misc_RNA from 1 species